rnacentral:rRNA from 1 species
AGAUUGAACGCUGGCGGCAUGCCUUACACAUGCAAGUCGAACGGCAGCACGGGAGCAAUCCUGGUGGCGAGUGGCGAACGGGUGAGUAAUAUAUCGGAACGUGCCCAGUAAUGGGGGAUAGCCCGGCGAAAGCCGGAUUAAUACCGCAUACGACCUACGGGUGAAAGCGGGGGAUCGCAAGACCUCGCGUUAUUGGAGCGGCCGAUAUCAGAUUAGCUUGUUGGCGGGUAAAAGCCCACCAAGGCAACGAUCUGUAGCUGGUCUGAGAGGACGACCAGCCACACUGGGACUGAGACACGGCCCAGACUCCGUACGGGAGCAGCAGUGGGAAUUUGGACAAGUGGGCGCAAGCCUGGAUCCAGCCAUGCCGCGUGUGGGAAGAAGGCCGUUCGGGUUGUAAACCUACGUUUUGU